rfam:Triticum aestivum genome assembly, contig: Triticum_aestivum_CS42_TGACv1_scaffold_559055_7AL
UUGCUACUCCCUCCAUUCCGAAUUACUUGUCGCAUGUUUGGAUGUAUCUAAAUGUAUUUUAGUUUUAGAUACAUCCAUUUCUGCGACGAGUAAUUUGGAACGGAGGGAGUACAUG